rnacentral:rRNA from 1 species
UACGGAGGAUCCGAGCGUUAUCCGGAAUUAUUGGGUUUAAAGGGUGCGUAGGCGGCCAUUUAAGUCAGCGGUGAAAUUUUGCAGCUUAACUGUAACAGUGCCGUUGAUACUGUUUGGCUAGGAUUGGGUUGUAGUGUGCGGAAUGUGUGGUGUAGCGGUGAAAUGCUUAGAUAUCACACAGAACACCGAUUGCGAAGGCAGCACACUAAGUCAUUAUUGACGCUGAGGCACGAAAGUGUGGGGAGUCAAACAGGAUUAGA